GACGAACGCUGGCGGCGUGCUUAACACAUGCAAGUCGAACGCUGAAGCUCAGCUUUUGUUGGGUGGAUGAGUGGCGAACGGGUGAGUAACACGUGAGUAACCUGCCCCCUUCUUUGGGAUAACGCCCGGAAACGGGUGCUAAUACUGGAUAUUCACGGGUCUUCGCAUGGGGGUUGGUGGAAAGGGUUUUUCUGGUGGGGGAUGGGCUCGCGGCCUAUCAGCUUGUUGGUGGGGUGAUGGCCUACCAAGGCUUUGACGGGUAGCCGGCCUGAGAGGGUGACCGGUAACAUUGGGACUGAGAUACGGGCGAGACUCCUACGGGAGGCAGAAGUGGGGAAUAUUGCACAAUGGGCGCAAGCAUGAUGCAGAGACGCCGCGUGAGGGAUGGAGUCCUUAGGGUUGUGAACCUCUUUGGCUCAUGGUCAAGCCGCAACAAUGGUUGUGGUGAGGGUAGUGGGUAAAGAAGCGCCGGCUAACUACGUG
rnacentral:rRNA from 1 species